GGGCAGUUUGACUGGGGCGGUCGCCUCCUAAAAGGUAACGGAGGCGCUCAAAGGUUCCCUCAGAAUGGUUGGAAAUCAUUCAUAGAGUGUAAAGGCAUAAGGGAGCUUGACUGCGAGACCUACAAGUCGAGCAGGGUCGAAAGACGGACUUAGUGAUCCGGUGGUUCCGCAUGGAAGGGCCAUCGCUCAACGGAUAAAAGCUACCCCGGGGAUAACAGGCUUAUCUCCCCCAAGAGUUCACAUCGACGGGGAGGUUUGGCACCUCGAUGUCGGCUCAUCGCAUCCUGGGGCUGUAGUCGGUCCCAAGGGUUGGGCUGUUCGCCCAUUAAAGCGGUACGC
rnacentral:rRNA from 1 species